rnacentral:rRNA from 2 species
GGGUUGUGAGGUUAAGCGACUAAGCGUACACGGUGGAUGCCCUGGCAGUCAGAGGCGAUGAAGGACGUGCUAAUCUGCGAAAAGCGUCGGUAAGGUGAUAUGAACCGUUAUAACCGGCGAUGUCCGAAUGGGGAAACCCAGUGUGAUUCGUCACACUAUCGUUAACUGAAUACAUAGGUUAACGAGGCGAACCGGGGGAACUGAAACAUCUAAGUACCCCGAGGAAAAGAAAUCAACCGAGAUUCCCCCAGUAGCGGCGAGCGAACGGGGAGCAGCCCAGAGUCUGAAUCAGCUUGUGUGUUAGUGGAACGGUCUGGAAAGUCCGACGGUACAGGGUGAUAGUCCCGUACACCAAAAUGCACAGGUUGUGAACUCGAAGAGUAGGGCGGGACACGUGGUAUCCUGUCUGAAUAUGGGGGGACCAUCCUCCAAGGCUAAAUACUCCUGACUGACCGAUAGUGAACCAGUACCGUGAGGGAAAGGCGAAAAGAACCCCGGCGAGGGGAGUGAAAAAGAACCUGAAACCGUGUACGUACAAGCAGUGGGAGCACCUUCGGGUGUGACUGCGUACCUUUUGUAUAAUGGGUCAGCGACUUAUAUUCUGUAGCAAGGUUAACCGUAUAGGGGAGCCGCAGGGAAACCGAGUCUUAACUGGGCGUUAAGUUGCAGGGUAUAGACCCGAAACCCGGUGAUCUAGCCAUGGGCAGGUUGAAGGUUGGGUAACACUAACUGGAGGACCGAACCGACUAAUGUUGAAAAAUUAGCGGAUGACUUGUGGCUGGGGGUGAAAGGCCAAUCAAACCGGGAGAUAGCUGGUUCUCCCCGAAAGCUAUUUAGGUAGCGCCUCGUGAAUUCAUCUUCGGGGGUAGAGCACUGUUUCGGCUAGGGGGUCAUCCCGACUUACCAACCCGAUGCAAACUACGAAUACCGAAGAAUGUUAUCACGGGAGACACACGGCGGGUGCUAACGUCCGUCGUGAAGAGGGAAACAACCCAGACCGCCAGCUAAGGUCCCAAAGUCAUGGUUAAGUGGGAAACGAUGUGGGAAGGCACAGACAGCCAGGAUGUUGGCUUAGAAGCAGCCAUCAUUUAAAGAAAGCGUAAUAGCUCACUGGUCGAGUCGGCCUGCGCGGAAGAUGUAACGGGGCUAAACCAUGCACCGAAGCUGCGGCAGCGACACUAUGUGUUGUUGGGUAGGGGAGCGUUCUGUAAGCCUGCGAAGGUGACCUGUGAGGGUUGCUGGAGGUAUCAGAAGUGCGAAUGCUGACAUAAGUAACGAUAAAGCGGGUGAAAAGCCCGCUCGCCGGAAGACCAAGGGUUCCUGUCCAACGUUAAUCGGGGCAGGGUGAGUCGACCCCUAAGGCGAGGCCGAAAGGCGUAGUCGAUGGGAAACAGGUUAAUAUUCCUGUACUUGGUGUUACUGCGAAGGGGGGACGGAGAAGGCUAUGUUAGCCGGGCGACGGUUGUCCCGGUUUAAGCAUGUAGGCUGGUUAUCCAGGCAAAUCCGGAUAAUCAAGGCUGAGGUGUGAUGACGAGGCACUACGGUGCUGAAGUAACAAAUGCCCUGCUUCCAGGAAAAGCCUCUAAGCAUCAGGUAACAUCAAAUCGUACCCCAAACCGACACAGGUGGUCAGGUAGAGAAUACCAAGGCGCUUGAGAGAACUCGGGUGAAGGAACUAGGCAAAAUGGUGCCGUAACUUCGGGAGAAGGCACGCUGGUGUGUAGGUGAAGUCCCUGCGGAUGGAGCUGAGACCAGUCGAAGAUACCAGCUGGCUGCAACUGUUUAUUAAAAACACAGCACUGUGCAAACACGAAAGUGGACGUAUACGGUGUGACGCCUGCCCGGUGCCGGAAGGUUAAUUGAUGGGGUUAUCCGUAAGGAGAAGCUCUUGAUCGAAGCCCCGGUAAACGGCGGCCGUAACUAUAACGGUCCUAAGGUAGCGAAAUUCCUUGUCGGGUAAGUUCCGACCUGCACGAAUGGCGUAAUGAUGGCCAGGCUGUCUCCACCCGAGACUCAGUGAAAUUGAACUCGCUGUGAAGAUGCAGUGUACCCGCGGCAAGACGGAAAGACCCCGUGAACCUUUACUAUAGCUUGACACUGAACAUUGAGCCUUGAUGUGUAGGAUAGGUGGGAGGCUUUGAAGCGUGGACGCCAGUCUGCGUGGAGCCAACCUUGAAAUACCACCCUUUAAUGUUUGAUGUUCUAACGUUGGCCCCUUAUCGGGGUUGCGGACAGUGUCUGGUGGGUAGUUUGACUGGGGCGGUCUCCUCCCAAAGCGUAACGGAGGAGCACGAAGGUUAGCUAAUCCUGGUCGGACAUCAGGAGGUUAGUGCAAUGGCAUAAGCUAGCUUGACUGCGAGCGUGACGGCGCGAGCAGGUGCGAAAGCAGGUCAUAGUGAUCCGGUGGUUCUGAAUGGAAGGGCCAUCGCUCAACGGAUAAAAGGUACUCCGGGGAUAACAGGCUGAUACCGCCCAAGAGUUCAUAUCGACGGCGGUGUUUGGCACCUCGAUGUCGGCUCAUCACAUCCUGGGGCUGAAGUAGGUCCCAAGGGUAUGGCUGUUCGCCAUUUAAAGUGGUACGCGAGCUGGGUUUAGAACGUCGUGAGACAGUUCGGUCCCUAUCUGCCGUGGGCGCUGGAGAAUUGAGGGGGGCUGCUCCUAGUACGAGAGGACCGGAGUGGACGCAUCACUGGUGUUCGGGUUGUCAUGCCAAUGGCACUGCCCGGUAGCUAAAUGCGGAAGAGAUAAGUGCUGAAAGCAUCUAAGCACGAAACUUGCCCCGAGAUGAGUUCUCCCUGAGACUUUAAGUCUCCUGAAGGAACGUUGAAGACGACGACGUUGAUAGGCCGGGUGUGUAAGCGCAGCGAUGCGUUGAGCUAACCGGUACUAAUGAACCGUGAGGCUUAACCUUACAACGCCGAAG